rnacentral:rRNA from 1 species
CCUACGGGCGGCAGCAGUGGGGAAUAUUGGGCAAUGGGCGCAAGCCUGACCCAGCAAAGCCGCGUGAAGGAAGAAGGCUUUCUGGUUGUAAACUUCUUUUCUUAGGGACGAAGAACGUGACGGUCGCUCAGGCAUAAGCCACGGCUACCUACGUGCCAGCAGCCGCGGUAAUACGUAGGUCGCAAGCGUUAUCCGGAUUUAUUGGGUGUAAAGGGCGGGUAGGCGGGAAAGCAAGUCAGAUGUGAAAACUCAGGGCUCAACCCUGAGCCUGCAGUUGAAACUGUUGUUCUUGAGUGGUGGAGAGGCAAGCGGAAUGCCGGGUGUAGCGGUGAAAUGCGUAGAUAUACGGAGGAACACCAGUGGCGAAGGCGGAUUGCUGGACAGUAACUGACGCUGAGGCGCGAAAGCGUGGGGAGCAAACAGGAUUAGAUACCCGUGUAGUC